rnacentral:rRNA from 1 species
ACACGACUACAUUAGAUACCCGUGUAGUCCUAGCCGUAAACGAUACUCGCUAGGUGUCGGCCACGGUGCGACCGUUGUCGGUGCCGUAGGGAAGCCGUGAAGCGAGCCACCUGGGAAGUACGGCCGCAAGGCUGAAACUUAAAGGAAUUGGCGGGGGAGCACCACAACAGGUGGAGCUUGCGGUUUAAUUGGAUUCAACGCCGGAAAUCUUACCGGGACCGACAGCAACAUGAAGGCCAGGCUGAAGACUUUGCCGGAUUAGCUG